rnacentral:rRNA from 1 species
GAUGAACGCUAGCUAUAGGCUUAACACAUGCAAGUCGAGGGGAAACGGCAUUAUGUGCUUGCACAUUUUGGACGUCGACCGGCGCACGGGUGAGUAUCGCGUAUCCAACCUGCCCUUUACUUGGGGAUACCCCGUUGAAAGACGGCCUAAUACCCGAUGUAAUUCAUUGAUGGCAUCAGAUAUGAAUAAAAGAUUUAUCGGUAAAGGAUGGGGAUGCGUCUGAUUAGCUUGUUGGUGAGGUAACGGCUCACCAAGGCGACGAUCAGUAGGGGUUCUGAGAGGAAGGUCCCCCACAUUGGAACUGAGACACGGUCCAAACUCCUACGGGAGGCAGCAGUGAGGAAUAUUGGUCAAUGGGCGCAAGCCUGAACCAGCCAAGUAGCGUGCAGGAAGACGGCCCUAUGGGUUGUAAACUGCUUUUAUACGAGAAUAAUUUGAUGCACGUGCGCGUUAUUGCAUGUAUCGUAUGAAUAAGGACCGGCUAAUUCCGUG